AUGAAAGGAACUCAAGGGUCACAGUUAAGGAAAUCCCGUUCAUGGUGGUGGGAUAGCCACAUUAGUCCAGAAAACUCCAAGUGGCUCUCAGAGAACUUACAAGAGAUGGAGAUGCAAGUGAAAGAGAUGCUGGGACUUGUUGAGGAGGAAGGUGAAUCCUCUGCAGAAAAGGCUGAGUAUUGCCAAGAACGACCUGUGCUUGUUGCCCACAUCAAAAAAUUCUAUGGCAUGUAUCGCACCCUUGCUGAGCGGUACGACAAUGUAACUGGAGAACUGCGCAAAAAUAUCCCAUCAUCACUGCAGCCACAUGGCUCUUUUGGUGCCCCUGAAUCAGAUUCUGAAACACAGUCUCCUCCAUCUACAGAGCAAAAGCCAAAAACUCGAUCAGAUUGCUUUGAUGUGUCCAUUGGCUCUGGUGUAAGCUCUGACGUAUCCAAGAAGGGGAGUGAUGGGUCUUCAUCGUCUUCAGAGUCUGAGUCAGAGCUUGAUGAAAGCAAAGAGGAAAAUGGCAACAGCAUGUUUUAUGCCUUGAGCCAAAGAAUUAUUGAGCUUGAAGUUGAGCUUCAUGAAGCAAGGGGAAAACUUGAUGCUUUGGGGGAAAAGAAUACCAUCUCAGAAGUGUCUGAACAUGACGAAAAACUGCGGGAGGAUCUUGAAGAAGUCAACAGUGAGAAGGAAGCAUUGGAAGCUGCGCUGUCGGCGAACAAAAAUGAGACUGAUGGGCUGAAGGAAGCAAUGGCCUCAGCAGCUAAGCAGUUUGAAAUUGAAUUGGCGCAUCGUGAUCUUGAAGUUGAUAAGUGCAAGCAGGAGCUUGGAGAACUUUCAGCGAAUUAUCUGCAUGAUAAAUCUGCUCUUGAGGCUGAGAUUGGAAUGCUCCAAGGAGUUAUCACAAAUUUUGAAGGUGAGUUAGCAAAACUGUCACAGGAGAAGUUGCAGCUCAGGUCUCGGAUUGAAGAGCUAGAAGAGGCAGCAUGCUGCUUAGAUUAUUCAGCUUCCGAGGUGGUGAAGCUGCAAGAAGCAAUGAAGAAUACAAAAGCAGAACUGGAGGAAGUUUUACUGGAGAAAGAAGAAACCAUCAAGAACCUAGAAGCACAGCUAGAAAGAGCCUCGCAAGAGAAAUCAAUACUCCAGGACAGUAUUAAGGAGCUGGAGAGGGUGGUGUGUGAUUCUGAGGAAAAACAUUCACUGGAGAAAUCUGGUCUUAGCGCUGAACUUUCAACACUAUCAGAAGCCAAUGCCUCUCUCGAAGGCAAGCUGGCAUCCAUGGAAGCAGAGCUUAACCAAGCUUAUGCUGACAGGGCAGAAGAAUACAUGGACAGCGAGAAACAUAUUUCUGAGCUGAAUCAAGACCUUGCCAAUCUUACAAGCAGGCUUGAACUGAUAUUAUCAGAGAAAGUCACAGUUGAUAACAAGCUGGCCACUCUACUAACUGACAUCACAGCACGUGAUGAAAAGAUGAAACAGAUGGAUGGCCACCUUAGUCAGCUUCAACUCGAGCAUGCUAAGAUAUCGGCAGAGUCUGCUAUUGUGCAUGAGUCCCUGUCAGAACUGCGUGCUCGGGUUUCUGAGCUUGAGGAACUUGUGGAGAAGCAGAACCUUGCGAUCUCUGAGAGCGCCGAGGGGAAGCGUGAGGCAAUUAGGCAGCUGUGCUUCACCCUUGAGCAUUACCGCAGCGGGUACCAGCAGCUGCGCGAGAUGCUGCAGCAGGGCCACAGGAGACCACUGAUGCUGAUGGCAGCCUGA
rnacentral:rRNA from 1 species